rnacentral:rRNA from 1 species
AGAGCAAGAGCCCGAGAUGGAUCUGAGACACGAAUCCAGGCCUACGGGGUGCAGCAGGCGCGAAAACUUUACAAUGCCGGCAACGGCGAUAAGGGGACCUCGAGUGCCAGGUUACAAAUCUGGCUGUCGUGAUGCCUAAAAAGCAUUGCAUAGCAAGGGCCGGGCAAGACCGGUGCCAGCCGCCGCGGUAACACCGGCGGCUCGAGUGGUAACCGUUAUUAUUGGGUCUAAAGGGUCUGUAGCCGGCCGGAUAAGUCUCUUGAGAAAUCCAGCAGCUCAACUGUUGGGCUUUCAGGAGAUACUGUUCGGCUCGAGGCCGGGAGAGGUGAGAGGUACUUCAGGGGUAGGGGUGAAAUCUUGUAAUCCUUGAAGGACCACCAGUGGCGAAGGCGUCUCACCAGAACGGACCUGACGGCAAGGGACGAAAGCUAGGGGCACGAACCGGAUUAGAUACCCGGGUAGUCCUAGCCGUAAACGAUACUCGCUAGGUGUCGGCCACGGUGCGACCGUUGUCGGUGCCGUAGGGAAGCCGUGAAGCGAGCCACCUGGGAAGUACGGCCGCAAGGCUGAAACUUAAAGGAAUUGGCGGGGGAGCACCACAACGGGUGGAGCGU